rnacentral:rRNA from 1 species
UACGUAGGGUGCAAGCGUUGUCCGGAAUUAUUGGGCGUAAAGAGCUUGUAGGCGGUUUGUCGCGUCUGCUGUGAAAUUUCGGGGCUCAACCCCGAACUUGCAGUGGGUACGGGCAGACUAGAGUGUGGUAGUGGAGACUGGAAUUCCUGGUGUAGCGGUGAAAUGCGCAGAUAUCAGGAGGAACACCGAUGGCGAAGGCAGGUCUCUGGGCCACUACUGACGCUGAGGCGCGAGAGCGUGGGGAGCGAACCGG